rnacentral:rRNA from 1 species
CCCGGGCCUUGUACACACCGCCUGUCAAGCCAUGGAAGUUGAGGGUACCUGAAGUCGAUCACCGCAAGGAGUCGCCUAGGGUAAAAUCAAUGACGUGGGGCU